rnacentral:rRNA from 1 species
AUUGAACGCUGGCGGCAGGCCUAACACAUGCAAGUCGAGCGGAGCGGCGGACGGGUGAGUAAUGCCUAGGAAUCUGCCUGGUAGUGGGGGAUAACGUCCGGAAACGGGCGCUAAUACCGCAUACUAUCAGAUGAGCCUAGGUCGGAUUAGCUAGUUGGUGGGGUAAAGGCCUACCAAGGCGACGAUCCGUAACUGGCCUGAGAGGAUGAUCAGUCACACGGGAACUGAGACACGGUCCAGACUCCUACGGGAGGCAGCAGUGGGGAAUAUUGGACAAUGGGCGAAAGCCUGAUCCAGCCAUGCCGCGUGUGUGAAGAAGGUCUUCGGAUUGUAAAGCACUUUAAGUUGGGAGGCGUUACCAACAGAAUAAGCACCGGCUAACUUCGUGCCAGCCGCCGCGGUAAUUC